CUACGGGCCGCAGCAGUGAGGAAUAUUGCACAAUGGGGGGAACCCUGAUGCAGCAACGCCGCGUGGAGGAUGACGCAUUUUGGUGCGUAAACUCCUUUUAUAUGUCAAGAAAAUGACGGUAGCAUAUGAAUAAGCACCGGCUAACUCCGUGCCAGCAGCCGCGGUAAUAGCGGAGGGUGCAAGCGUUACUCGGAAUCACUGGGCGUAAAGGACGCGUAGGCGGGUUGGAAAGUCAGGUGUGAAAUCCUACAGCUUAACUGUAGAACUGCACUUGAAACUUCUAAUCUAGAGUAUGGGAGGGGGAGAUGGAAUUAGUGGUGUAGGGGUAAAAUCCGUAGAUAUCACUAGGAAUACCUAAAGCGAAGGCGAUCUCCUGGAACAUUACUGACGCUAAGGCGUGAAAGCGUGGGGAGCAAACAGGAUUAGAUACCCUGGUAGUC
rnacentral:rRNA from 1 species